GCCCAGUGAGGCACCCCCUUUAACGGCCGCGAGAACCAAUCGCGCAAAGGUAGCACAAUCACUUGUCCCCUAAAUAGGGACCCGUAUGAAAGGUUGCAUGAGAAAGAGACUGUCUCCUGUGGCUGGUCUAUGAAACUGAUCUAUCAGUACAAAAGCUGAUAUAAAAAAAUAGGACAAAAAGACCCUGUGAAGCUUAAAACCUAGUCAAAAUCACAUUAGACAAGGGUUUUUAGUUGGGGCAACUAGGGAGAAACAAAACCUCUACCAAACUGCCAAGUCCAACAAGACAAAGCACCACCACCUUAACACAUGACCCAGUAUUACUGAUCGAAGAACCAAGCUACUCCAGGGAUAACAGCGCCACACUCUUUAAGAGUCCAUAUCAACAAGAGUACCUACGACCUCGAUGUUGGAUCAGG
rnacentral:rRNA from 1 species